AACGAACGCUGGCGGCAUGCCUAACACAUGCAAGUCGAACGGGAUCCGGACUUCGGUCCGGUGAGAGUGGCGGACGGGUGAGUAACACGUGGGAACCUGCCUUUUGGUUCGGGAUAACCGCGGGAAACUGCGGCUAAUACCGGAUGCUCCCGAGAGGGAAAAGAUUUAUCGCCAGAAGAGGGGCCCGCGUCCGAUUAGGUAGUUGGUGGGGUAAUGGCCUACCAAGCCGACGAUCGGUAGCUGGUCUGAGAGGAUGAUCAGCCACACUGGGACUGAGAUACGGCCCAGACUCCUACGGGAGGCAGCAGUGGGGAAUAUUGGACAAUGGGGGCAACCCUGAUCCAGCAAUGCCGCGUGAGUGAUGAAGGCCUUAGGGUUGUAAAGCUCUUUUGCCAGGGAAGAUGAUGACUGUACCUGGAGAAUAAGCCCCCGGCUAACUUCGUGCCAGCAGCCGCGGUAAU
rnacentral:rRNA from 1 species